rnacentral:lncRNA from 1 species
CCUCGGUCCUGGCCGGCGGGUAGAGGGGCGGCCGGCGAGGACUCGAGCCUGGCGGGGGAAGAGAGGCUAGCGGGAUACGAGAGGGCGUGAGAAGGGGAGCGAGGCCAGAAAAGAGAGCCAAAAGGGAGGGAAAAGCAGAGAAAGAGCCCGGGAAGAAGGAGGUGGCGGGCAGAGGAACCUAAGAAGAGCGAUGUGCUGGGCCCCAUUCCUGCUGCUCUGGCGGGCUGGGGCCGGAAGAUGGUGGCCAAUGAGGAGGGGGAGUGGAGAGAACUUGAGCCAGGCCCUCCCCUCCCCCAUUUCCUCCUCUGUUUCUACACCCGCUUCUGGAAGGAGCUGGGGGAUGGCUCCUAGGCCCAAGGUGGGGGAGGGGUCCUGCUGGCUGUUGAAUUGCUGGUCUCCCCUCAGGAAUGAGUUAGGCACGUGAGCUCCAAGGGACUCGGUGUCUCAGCUGCGUAUCCCUUCGCUCCCUAAGGAAAGAUCUGGGAACUCCUUGAUGAAGAAUCUUCUUUGGCUACCGUGAAGCUUACUGGGUAGUCUUGUCUUUGUCCCUCUGCCCCAUGUUGGUCUGGUCCUGUUCCCAACUGGCUUGCCCAACUCCAGGAGCAGAGAGGCCUGGCGACUGACCCAAGCUGGGCCUUGGUUUCUGUCCAUUAGAACUGUGCAAACUGUGGGGCAGGGCCCAGUGUUUGCUGAUUACAAGAAUAAACUGCCUGGGAAGGCGGGAAA